CACGGAGUGACUUCGUAAGGGCGGAACUAAAAAAUGACGGAGAUUGGUUCCACCCGGACCAUAAUUCUCAAACACCGGGAACUCCGGGAAGGGAAAUCAGGGUUUUAUUGAUCGCAGGUGGAUAGAUGAACGGGGCGAUCGUGGAUUGGGCAGUAUGAAGAGAAGGAGUAUAAAGAGGGCCUCAGAAACUGCAGAGGGCGGGGAAAGUUCUUUGUUUUAUUUCAGCCGAUACGGCGAGAGAGUUGGAGUGUUUGGGCGAGUACAGUGGAAAGAAGGCAGAGGAUAUUGUUGGCUGGGCAAAGACGGAGACAAGGGUUUGGCAGAAACAGACACCGGGCUGAGUAUAUUGGAAUGUCUACUUAACUGUGAAAUGCUCCAUGGACAUGUGUAACAAAUUCUGAGUGAUUGAAAACAGGAAGACUCACCGGAAGUAUCGCCGAAGGAGGCCUUUUCGACAGGGCACGUGGCAGCAGGAGAAGUACCCAGGAGCUGGAAAGAAGAGGGAAAAGAGACCUCGUGUAGUAACGGUGUGAGUACCCUAAACCAUCGUACAGCAGUAUCAUCAUCUAGAGUGAACCAUCUGUGAGCCGUUUUGUGAGUUUGUGGCAUAGUAUGUGAGCGGCCCCACUGUGGAGGAGGAUUGUGGGUGAGCCGGGACCAGUGAGCGAGAGAGGAUGUUGGGCUGUUGUGGCGGCAACGUUUAAAUCUGAAUAUUCGUGGCAUCAGUGUCUUCACGACUUCCAGGAAGAGUCUUUGGUCAGACGGGGUGUUGACCCUAAAUUCACCAGAGUGUGUGGAGUGCAGUGGGUGAGUCUUUGUCCUUUGCUGUGAGUGUAUACACUUGAAAAUUGCAGUGUUGUGCUGUGUUGUGUCGUCAACAACCACCUUUCAGGCCCGACGAAAUCCUGUGAAGGAAGUGAAUACCGAGGCCGCGAAGAAAACAUCUCCAAUUAUAUGCCGUCGAUGACAUCCUGACCCUUCUUCCCCACGUGACGGUGGUGGGAAACAAUUUCAAGUAAGAACAGUGUGGAUCUCCUGGGAAGUAUUAAUGGUGAGGAGUUGGCUGCUGUAGGAGGAAAUCAGCUGUGCGUGUAUUAUUACCUGCUGUGGAGUUCUUCAAAGGUUCGCCCCUGUCUAGAUGUCUUGACUUGUCGGUUGGUAGAAGCCUCAGAAAAGGAACGUCUGACGUCUAUUCCCUCGAAGGUCUGUGAGUUACAUCACUUCCUGUUUCCCUGUAUAUUCACCGUAAACGUAUGCCCAAAGCUAAAGCCAGCAUAUUGUGUUGUACACUCGCCUGUAUGCCCAGAGUGAAGUCCCAGUUGUAUUGGAUGUACUUACCUUAUGCCCAAAGCUAAAGCCAGCAUAUUGUGUUGUACACUCGCCUGUCUGCCCAAGUGAAACCCCAGUUGUCUUUCCUACGGACUUACUUGUGCCCCCGAGUGAAGAGCCAGC
ensembl:lncRNA